ACGGUUUCUGUGUCGCAGCUAACGCAUUAAGUUCCCCGCCUGGGGAGUACGGCCGCAAGGCUAAAACUCAAAGGAAUUGACGGGGGCCCGCACAAGCGGCGGAGCAUGCGGAUUAAUUCGAGGCAACGCGAAGAACCUUACCAAGGCUUGACAUAUACCUGAAAAGGCUGGAAACAGUCUCCCCGCAGGGCAGGUAUACAGGUGGUGCAUGGUUGUCGUCAGCUCGUGUCGUGAGAUGUUGGGUUAAGUCCCGCAACGAGCGCAACCCUCGUUCUAUGUUGCCAGCACGUAAUGGUGGGAACUCAUAGGAGACUGCCGGGGUCAACUCGGAGGAAGGUGGGGAUGACGUCGGAGGAAUUCCA
rnacentral:misc_RNA from 1 species